UACGUAGGGUGCAAGCGUUUGUCCGGAAUUAUUGGGCGUAAAGAGCUCGUAGGCGGUCUGUCGCGUCGGCUGUGAAAACCUGGGGCUCAACCCCAGGCCUGCAGUCGAUACGGGCAGACUAGAGUCCGGCAGGGGAGACUGGAAUUCCUGGUGUAGCGGUGAAAUGCGUAGAUAUCAAGUGGAACACCAGUGGCGAAGGCGAGUCCCUGGACAACUCCUGACACUGAGGCACGAAAGCUAGGGGAGCAAACAGG
rnacentral:rRNA from 1 species